UACGUAGGGCGCAAGCGUUAUCUGGAAUUAUUGGGCGUAAAGAGCUCGUAGGCGGUUCGUCGCGUCGGCUGUGAAAACCUGAGGCUCAACCUCAGGCCUGCAGUCGAUACGGGCGGACUUGAGUACUGCAGGGGAGACUGGAAUUCCUGGUGUAGCGGUGAAAUGCGCAGAUAUCAGGAGGAACACCGGUGGCGAAGGCGGGUCUCUGGGCAGUAACUGACGCUGAGGAGCGAAAGCGUGGGGAGCGAACAGG
rnacentral:rRNA from 1 species